rnacentral:rRNA from 1 species
ACAAGCGGUGGAGCACGUGGUUUAAUUCGAUGCAAACCGAAGAACCUUACCUGGGUUUGACAUGUACGUGUUACUGAGGUGAAAGCUGAGGGACCACAUCUUCGGAUGUGGAGCGUACACAGGUGCUGCAUGGCUGUCGUCAGCUCGUGUCGUGAGAUGUUGGGUUAAGUUCCGCAACGAGCGCAACCCCUGCAUUCAGUUGCCAUCGGUGAGGCCGGGCACUCUGGAUGGACUGCCGGCGACAAGCCGGAGGAAGGUGGGGACGACGUCAAGUCAUCAUGGCCCUUAUGCCCAGGGCGACACACGUGCUACAAUGGCCGGCACAGCGGGAAGCGAAGGGGCGACUCUGAGCGGAUCCCUUAAAGCCGGUCCCAGUUCGGAUUGCAGUCUGCAACUCGACUGCAUGAAGUUGGAAUCGCUAGUAAUCGUGGAUCAGCCAAGCCGCGGUGAAUACGUUCCCGGGCCUU